CCUUUGGAGAGCUAUACCAAACUAGAGUAGUCUUAUGACCAAAUAGAGUUCUAUGAAGAAGGAA
rnacentral:sRNA from 12 species